rnacentral:rRNA from 1 species
UACGAAGGGUGCAAGCGUUACUCGGAAUUACUGGGCGUAAAGCGUGCGUAGGUGGUUUGUUAAGUCUGCUGUGAAAUCCCCGGGCUCAACUGUUGAAAGCCGGUGGAUACUGUCGGGCUAGAGUACGGAAGAGGCAAGUGGAAUUCCUGGUGUAGUGGUGGAAUGCGUAGAUAUCGGGAGGAACACCAGUGGCGAAGGCGGCUACCUGGACCGGUUCUGACACUGAGGAGCGAAAGCGUGGGGAGCGAUCCGG